rnacentral:rRNA from 1 species
UACGUAGGUGGCAAGCGUUGUCCGGAUUUACUGGGCGUAAAGAGCGCGCAGGCGGUCGAUUAAGUCGAAUGUGAAAGCCCCCGGCUCAACUGGGGAGGGUCAUUCGAUACUGAUCGACUUGAAGGCAGGAGAGAGAAGUGGAAUUCCCGGUGUAGUAGUGAAAUGCGUUGAUAUCGUUCGGAACACCGAAAGCGAAGGCAGGCUUCUGGGUGCCACCUGACACUGCUAGGACGAAAGCGUGGGGAGCGAAUGGG